GGAUAAAAAAAGACCGAAUACGAUUCCUAUAUUCGGUCCAGGGAAAUGGCUCUUGGGAGAGAGCCGUGCGCUAAAAGUUGGCAUUUUUCGUAGGCUUUUAACGUCCUACAGUCUUAAGUAUAGAGCGCAGACCCCGCUUUUCCACCGC
rnacentral:sRNA from 1 species